rnacentral:rRNA from 1 species
GACGUAGGGUGCGAGCGUUGUCCGGAUUUAUUGGGCGUAAAGAGCUCGUAGGCGGCUCGUCGCGUCGACCGUGAAAACCCGCAGCUUAACUGCGGGCUUGCGGUUGAUACGGGCGGGCUAGAGUUCGGUAGGGGAGACUGGAAUUCCCGGUGUAGUGGUGAAAUGCGUAGAUAUCGGGAGGAACACCAGUGGCGAAGGCGACUACCUGGCCUGUUCUUGACGCUGAGGCGCGAAAGCUAGGGGAGCAAACGGG